rnacentral:rRNA from 1 species
CAGAGAUGGUGCCCCCCUUGUGGUCGGUGUACAGGUGGUGCAUGGCUGUCGUCAGCUGUGGGGGGGAUGUUGGGUUAAGUCCCGCAACGAGCGCAACCCUUGUCCCGUGUUGCCAGCAAGCCCUUCGGGGUGUUGGGGACUCACGGGAGACCGCCGGGGUCAACUCGGAGGAAGGUGGGGACGACGUCAAGUCAUCAUGCCCCUUAUGUCUUGGGCUGCACACGUGCUACAAUGGCCGGUACAAUGAGCUGCGAUACCGCGAGGUGGAGCGAAUCUCAAAAAGCCGGUCUCAGUUCGGAUUGGGGUCUGCAACUCGACCCCAUGAAGUCGGAGUCGCUAGUAAUCGCAGAUCAGCAUUGCUGCGGUGAAUACGUUCCCGGGUCUUGUACACACCGA